rnacentral:tRNA from 2 species
GAAAUGUAAAGCAAUUAUUGGAGCUGCUAACUCUCAAUCAUAGCGGUUAAAAUCCGUUAACAUUUCU